GACGAACGCUGGCGGCGUGCUUAACACAUGCAAGUCGAACGGAAAGGCCCUGCUUUUGUGGGGUGCUCGAGUGGCGAACGGGUGAGUAACACGUGAGUAACCUGCCCUUGACUUUGGGAUAACUUCAGGAAACUGGGGCUAAUACCGGAUAGGAGCUCCUGCUGCAUGGUGGGGGUUGGAAAGUUUCGGCGGUUGGGGAUGGACUCGCGGCUUAUCAGCUUGUUGGUGGGGUAGUGGCUUACCAAGGCUUUGACGGGUAGCCGGCCUGAGAGGGUGACCGGCCUCAUUGGGACUGAGAUACGGCCCAGACUCCUACGGGAGGCAGCAGUGGGGAAUAUUGCACAAUGGGCGGAAGCCUGAUGCAGCAACGCCGCGUGCGGGAUGAUGGCCUUCGGGUUGUAAACCGCUUUCGCCUGUGACGAAGCGUGAGUGACGGUAAUGGGUAAAGAAGCACCGGCUAACUACGUG
rnacentral:rRNA from 1 species